rnacentral:rRNA from 1 species
UACGAAGGGGGCUAGCGUUGCUCGGAAUUACUGGGCGUAAAGGGCGCGUAGGCGGAUGUCUAAGUUGGGGGUGAAAUCCCGGGGCUCAACCUCGGAAUUGCCUUCAAAACUGGAUAUCUUGAGUUCGGGAGAGGUAAGUGGAACUCCGAGUGUAGAGGUGAAAUUCGUAGAUAUUCGGAAGAACACCAGUGGCGAAGGCGACUCACUGGCCCGAUACUGACGCUGAGGCGCGAAAGCGUGGGGAGCAAACAGGG